GAUGAACGCUGGCGGCGUGCUUAACACAUGCAAGUCGAACGAUGAAGCCCAGCUUGCUGGGUGGUUUAGUGGCGAACGGGUGAGUAACACGUGAGUAACCUGCCCUUAACUCUGGGAUAAGCAUGGGAAACUGGGUCUAAUACCGGACAGGAGCGUCCACCGCAUGGAGGGUGUUGGAGAGAUUUAUCGGUUUUGGCUAGAUUCGCGGCGUAUCGGCUCUUUGGUCAGGUAAUGGUAAACCAAGGGCAUGCCGGGUAGCCGGCCCGUGAGCGGGACCGGCCACCAUGGGACUGCGGGACGGAGCAGUAUGCUACGGUAGGCAGCGGUGGGGAAUAUUGCGGAAUGGCGGCAAGCCUGUUGCGGCGGCGCUCCGUGCGUGAUGCCGGCCUUCGAGUUGUGAACCUCUUUCAGUAGGGAAGAAGAGAAAGUGACGGUACCUGCAGAAGAAGCACCGGCUAACUACGUG
rnacentral:rRNA from 1 species